rnacentral:rRNA from 1 species
CGGGACGGGUGGGGAGUGCCUGGGAAACUGCCUGAUGGAGGGGGAUAACUGCUGGAAACGGUAGCUAAUACCGCAUAACGUCGCAAGACCAAAGAGGGGGACCUUCGGGCCUCUUGCCAUCGGAUGUGCCCAGAUGGGAUUAGCUAGUAGGUGGGGUAACGGCUCACCUAGGCGACGAUCCCUAGCUGGUCUGAGAGGAUGACCAGCCACACUGGAACUGAGACACGGUCCAG